CAGUGCGGUCCGAGCCUUCAACAUUAGCUUCGUUGUCUGCAACCCUCUCAUAUGGAAAAACCCACACUUGCAGAAAUCACUGAGGAGUCUAUUCAGGCCCUGAUUUCCACUGUCCUAACAGAAGCUGCCAUGUCAGUCCGAUGGAACGCUUGUUAUGCAAUGGGAAAUGUAUUUAAAAAUCCCGGCCUUCCGUUAGAAGAUCUGAAACCUAAGGAUGUGUUCCUGGAGAGGAGAGCAUGCAUCAAGCGAGGGGAGUCUGGCUCUGCACCCCUUUAAUGCCCAGAGCGUCUAGGCAGAGCAGUCAGCUGGAGCCUGUGGAGAAGUAGCCUCCUGGCUGCUUCCACUGAGGGUGACCUUUGGGGCUGGAGCUCUUUGAGGUGGAUGUCCACCUUCUGGAGAGCCAAGAGCGCCUUGAAACCAGGGCACCUCGGUGUUUGGCUCCUACCUGCCUUCCUGUCUGGCUCUUGCCCUCAGCCUUCUAGAGAAAGAGAAGUUGACCUGGAGAGAGGGGACUCCAUGACCUGGAGGGAAAGGGAAGCUCCAAAGAGGCAGGAAGUUUGAGAACGAGAAAGCAUCCAAUAACAGAGCUAUCAGGAGCCACAUACGAAAAGGGAGCCAGAAACUGACAAAAGACUGUGACUGACAGGUCGGAAUGUGAGAGCCUUGUAGCCCUAGCAGUGGCCCGUUGUCAAUGGCAGUGGCAUCCAACAAAUGGGAUGGGCCUGCUCACCUGUCUUCAGAGGCUGCAGAGAAGCAGGGAAGGGCUGCGAGAGUUAAGAGAAGCUGCAUUCUACUCUGUCACCCAUCUUGAGUAAGGACACCCCAAAAUGCAGUGGGUAGCAGUAGCUCUGGUAAGGAGGAAAGCAGGCUGUUUCCUAGGGCCUACAGGAGUGGAGAAAAGAUAGAAAUAUGGGCAUCUUAUCCUUGAAAUGGGACAGCCCCAUGGACCUCCCGGCCUACAGCGCCCUGACAUCAGUUGUGACAUCAUGCAAGGACUUCAAAGUGUGCAUCAGAUCUACCACUGCCCUUUCCGUCCCGGGCAAGAGACAGCAGUAUGGGUCUGUUGACCAGUAUGCUAGGAUUGGAUCUGGAGCGCGUUGGUCACCGCCUUCCAGAAAGCGAAGACACCACAGCCUUUUUGGAAUUCAAGUACUGUGCCAGCCUGUGGACCCAAAUCUGCCAGGUACUCAUUUACUUCCUGAGCUUGGACAGUGCCUCAGACUUGCUUUGUAUCAGAGAAACCCUUGAACUGAAUGGGAAUAUGCUGCAGUCCUAUAUCCUAUAGUUUCUAAAGUAAGGAGCAGAGGGAGAUGACACCAGAGCACCCCACAGCCCCCAGGAAAGAGACCAAAUGGUCAGAAUGGCCCUGAAGCGCAUGGGCAGUGUCCAGGCACCGACGGGAGACACAGCCAGAAGGGCCAUCAUGGGCUUUGUAGAAGAGAUCCUGGCCAUUUGUUUUGACUCAUCUGGAUCACAAGGGGCACUCCCAGGGUUAACAAGUCGGUGAAGAUCCCACCAUGCUUUCUAGGUGUCGAAGGUGGCAAUAGGAAGACCUGAGCUUGAGCAUAAGAUAUGUGGGAUUUCAUCUUAGGGGCAGAAACAAUCCAUUCACUAUUUAUUUAGAAUGACUUACCAGCGAUUUAAAUUUUCACAGAAGGCUCAGCCACCUUGGGAGUGGCUCCACAGCACUGACCAUGGUCAGGCUUGUUGGAACCUCUGACCUGUGCAUCCAGGAGCCGAGGAGUUGGGUUGUAUUAUGGGCCAAGCAGACGGGGGCUUUGAGGGCGUUUAGUUUCAGGAAAAAAAAAAAAGGCAGAAGGAUUUAGGAGCUAGAAUGUUGCAUAUUGUGUGUGUACUUUUGUAAUAAACUAAUGAAAAACAGUGUGUCCAC
rnacentral:lncRNA from 1 species